rnacentral:rRNA from 1 species
GGGCGCAGGGCGAAUGCCUUGGCACUGGGAGCCGAUGAAAGACGUGAUAAGCUGCGAUAAGCUUCGGGGAGCUGCAAAUAAGCAUUGAUCCGGAGAUUUCUGAAUGAGGAAACUCACCUGGGUUCAUACUCAGGUACAAUACACUGAAAUUCAAAAUAGGUGUAUUGAGGGAACCGCCUGAACUGAAACAUCUAAGUAGGGCGAGGAAGAGACAUCAAACGAGAUUCCGUAAGUAGUGGCGAGCGAACGCGGAAGAGGGCAAACCGAGAGUAGAAAUACUUUCGGGGUACGGACUGCUUUUAAGACUCAAUCUGUUAACCGAACGGCAUGGGAAGGCCGGUCAGAGAGUGUGAGAACCACGUAGGUGAAAACGGAGAGAGCUGCGCAGAAUCCAGAGUACGGCCAGACACGUGAAACCUGGUCGGAAGAUGGGGGGACCACCCUCCAACCCUAAAUACUACCCAGUGACCGAUAGCGUAUAGUACUGUGAAGGAAAGGUGAAAAGCACCCCGGGAGGGGAGUGAAAAAGAACCUGAAACCCUGUGCCUACAAGCACCUAGAGCGCGUCAAAGCGUGAUAGGGUACUUUUUGUAGAACGGUCCGGCGAGCGAUUGUAUGCAGCAAGGUUAAGGACUUAAGGUCUGGAGCCGAAGCGAAAGCGAGUUUGAAAAGGGCGUUAAGUUGCAUAUAAUGGGCCCGAAACCGGGUGACCUACCCAUGGUCAGGUUGAAGUGGAAGUAAAAUUCCAUGGAGGACCGAACCGACCUCCGUUGAAAAGGCGGCGGAUGAACUGUGGGUAGCGGAGAAAUUCCAAUCGAACCCGGAGAUAGCUGGUUCUCCCCGAAAUAGUUUUAGGACUAGCCUCAAGUUAGAUACCUGGAGGUAAAGCACUGAAUAGCCUAGCGGCCGAGAGGUUAGCGAAGCUUAUCAAACUCAGAAUGCCAGAGUAUUGAUGCUUGGGAGUCAGACAGUGUCAGAUAAAUGUCAUUGUCAAAAGGGAAACAGCCCAGAUCUACAGCUAAGGUCCCAAAGUCAGGUUAAGUGGAAAACGAUGUGAAGAUACGCAGACAACCAGGAUGUUGGCUCAGAAGCAGCCACUCAUUCAAAGAGUGCGUAAUAGCUCACUGGUCGAGCGUCUUUGCGCGGAGAAUUUAACGGGGCUAAACCUGACACCGAAGCUUAGGCAAUACAGCAAUGUAUUGGGUAGGGGAGCGUUGUAUACGCGGAGAAACAGUAGCGCAAGCGGCUGUGGAGUGUAUAGAAGUGAGAAUGCCGGAAUGAGUAGCGCGAAUGCAGUGAGAAUCUGCAUGGCCGAAAGCCUCAGGUUUCUGGAGGAAGGUUCGUCCGCUCCAGGUUAGUCGGGAGCUAAGGUGAGGCCGGAAGGCGUAGCCGAUGCACAGACGGUAGAGAUUCCGUCACCACCAAAAGAGUUAAGCACAGGGACACAUUUGAAGUCUCAGAGCCGGGUGUUGGUUCCGGUAGAGAUCGAGGGAAAUUAGUACCGAAGUCUGAGAUGGAAGAUGGCGAGAAAAGCUGUGUGUAUUUCUGAGGUGCCCGUACCGCAAACCGACACAGGUAGGUAGGAAGAAGAUUCUAAGGCCAACGGGAGAAGGGUUGUUAAGGAACUCGGCAAGUUGACCCCGUAACUUCGGAAUAAGGGGUGCUCACGAGAGUGAGCCGCAGAGAAUAGGCCCAGGCAACUGUUUACCAAAAACACAGGUUUGUGCUAAAUCGAAAGAUGACGUAUACGAGCUGACGCCUGCCCGGUGCUGGAAGGUUAAGAGGAGAUGUGCAAGCAUUGAAUCGAAGCCCCAGUGAACGGCGGCCGUAACAAUAACGGUCCUAAGGUAGCGAAAUUCCUUGUCAGGUAAGUUCUGACCCGCACGAAUGGCGUAAUGAU